UGUGUGAACCAAUAAUAAUAUAGAUUAAUUCGAAGGUAAAAGAAGAACAAUCACCCAGAACUAGAACUAGAAUCAAAGCAAUAAAAACAAAUUUGUGAAAAAAUAUCACACAUACAUUUUGCAAUGGGCCUCCAUAAAUGUUUUCUCAGCUAUUAUGCCGAACUUUGUAUUUACUAUUUAGCAAAGCCCAUAAAUUAUUUUGGCAAGGGUUUCCAAAAAUAGAAGUCUUUAUAAACUGUCACAGAUAUACAUCUUGGCUAUGGCAGUUAAUGAUGCAGCACAGCAGCUCAUGAAAAUGCUGAACGUGUUUGAUGUCUGCUACUGCCUUUCCAUCAACAGAUUGUUGGGACUUCGGCACGCCGGCAAAGUACAUCUACACAGUCAACAGUUUUGGCACACAAGUUAAUUAUUGAGAGGAAAAACAAGAAGCCAUGGUUACACAAGGAAACAUGGCAGAAUAAUUAUAUUGUACCUUUGUGGUGAGUGACCGAGUGUUUCUGCUUAUCUUUGCAAUGCACCUUCAACUGGAAAUUUUCAAAUAUUGCUGAUGAAUUUGUUCAAAGUCAUUUUUCUUUUCAAGCCAACACAUACACUACAUACAAAGAGGAACAAAGAUAGUAAUGGCAAAAUCCAUUAAACUACGUACCUCCUUACUAGAGUGCGACACUGAUGGGAGCUUACAACUGGCUUAGAGACAACUCUACUUGCAACCAUUUACCAAUGACUUCCUCUGGUUGGCUUCCAUACAACUUCCUCCAGCGCAUCUCAUGCCACAGCAAACUUUUCACUCCUGCACCUGCAAAAGAUUAGAGAAUGACUUGAUAAACAAAUGCUAUGAUAUUACUCUGAUAUUUGGUAUGGAAUAGCAUCACACGCUUCCUCAUCAAUCCACACAACAUAUUAAAAGUACAAGGAUAUUAUCAGAUCGUCACACAAACUUCAAAUACACAAUGUACCUUUAGAUAUAGAAACUAGAUAUACCUAGCCUACUUGAUCUAUCAGCAUGCUCCAGUGAAAGCUAGUCGGCGAAAAAAUAUUUUAAGACAUGCUAAUCCUACAGAUGACAGGUCGGCUACACACACAAAAAAGGAUUAAAUUCACCAUUUUCAGCUAGGACGAACAAUUUUGGGAAAUCCUAGAGCUGGGGUAUACAAUCGAUUCCGUUACAAACCAAUCAACUCUCCUUAGUGGACUGGGUAUGAAGUGAUAUCUACAAGUAUUGUUAAGUACUAUAUGUUAUUAAUAUUUACCAGUGACUAUCCAAGCUCCACAGCCCUCUUAAAUUCUUGAAGACAACUCGUAGCUGGCACAAAUAGGUGCCUGUUCCUCCUGGCCUAUGACUGUUAGGCAGCAUAAUCAAAAUCUCCAGCUAGGCCCAUACACAGAACACCACAUACUGGGACCACCUUAAAACUACGGUUAGGAGUACAGAUAAUAUCCAAGAGCACCCGUCACAAAUUUCCUGGCGAGGCAUCCUUAACACCAGUUUGUCCUUAAAGUCAAAGGGGGAGAAUAAUGGAAACAUGUCGUAUCAUUGUAUGCAUUUCAUUCCUCUAAGAUAAAACCACAUGUUCUCCUCCUAUUUUAAGUGAAGAAUCACUCCCGUACUAAUAGAGACUGAUGAGUAGGAGUACACAUAUAGCGCUUUCUAUUGAAGCGUCCAUUUCCCAGUCAUGUUUGGUAAACAGAGUAAUGAAUUGAAAUCCAUCUUUUUUUCCUAAUUAACAAGCAAACAAUCCCAGCAACAAAGUGAACAGAAAUCACUAUAGUCCAAACCCUGCUUUUACAAAGAAAAAGGGACUUAAAAAAACACACACACAAUAAAAGUCACUAUCUUUAAUCCAAAAAAAAAAACUUAAUCAUCAACAACUGAAUCGUUUAUGGCUCUAUGGUCUAUAUUUAACAACUCUAACAUGGAAUCCAGUUAAGACCAAUCCUUUACCUGGGGUUUAGACCAAUUUGCCCAUAUUAAAAUAAUGCAACUGAUAAAAAGCAUGGGACUCAUACCAGGAUGCACGGAGAACAUGAACGGCAUGUUGAUAAUUGAUAACAUCAUAAAUAGCACAAUAAAGAUGCGCCUAAAGUAACAAAAAUAGCUCAGAGUACAAUGCUUGGGAUUGGUAUCAUAGGUUUUACAGAGCACCUACCUCUUUAGAAUGCCGAGUACUGCAAAACUUGUUCUUAUACUAUGGGAUGCUAAAACAAGCAAAUAAUUCCAGCAACAAGUAGAAAUCACAUGAGCCAAAUAUGGGAGACUUAAAAUAUGAGCUAAGCUAGAAGAAAAGAAUGUUUUUGGAAUACUGCAGUUCAGUGUAGAAAUAAAAUUCUGAAUUACUAUGAGGGCCUAAACAAAUAAACCAUUAUAGUUAGAAAAGUUAUGUGCAUCAUCAAAGAAAGAUAUCUCGCAAGAAAAACAAACAUGUCUUUUAGCAUAGAUGGUAGAGAAAAGAGUCAUUGAGAUGCCCACCCCAAUCCCAACCCCAAGAAGAAAAAAAAAAGAAGCAAAAAGUAAAAAACAGUACCAUAUUGAUAACAUCCACAAACAAAUUCCCAACUGAACAUAAAUCAAAGAAGAUCCAUUGCUUACACCAUUUCCAAACCAAACCACUAUUACUACCACAGAACCUGCCCAAGGUCCAUCUUGACUUCGAAUUCCUGUUGUCACUCCAAACUAUCGUCAAUACACCUCAAAUCAGCCUCCUAAGCUUAGCUUCAUGAGUACACACAGAAUUGCCGAAGAUUCAAUCAUCAACAAUUUAAUGACCUCGACACAGGCUCCCACAUAUCAACCCCUGGGAUCAAUCGUUUUGUUGACCUUGUCACUUGUUGUCACCCCAACAACAGUGUUGUACACUUA
rnacentral:lncRNA from 1 species